rnacentral:rRNA from 1 species
CCUACGUGUGGCUGCAGUGGGGAAUAUUGGACAAUGGGCGAAAGCCUGAUCCAGCCAUGCCGCGUGUGUGAAGAAGGCCUUCGGGUUGUAAAGCACUUUCAGUGGGGAAGAAAGCCUUGGGGCUAAUACCCUCGAGGAAGGACAUCACCCACAGAAGAAGCACCGGCUAACUCCGUGCCAGCAGCCGCGGUAAUACGGGGGGUGCGAGCGUUAAUCGGAAUUACUGGGCGUAAAGCGCGCGUAGGCGGUCUGAUAAGCCGGUUGUGAAAGCCCCGGGCUCAACCUGGGAACGGCAUCCGGAACUGUCAGGCUAGAGUGCAGGAGAGGAAGGUAGAAUUCCCGGUGUAGCGGUGAAAUGCGUAGAGAUCGGGAGGAAUACCAGUGGCGAAGGCGGCCUUCUGGACUGACACUGACGCUGAGGUGCGAAAGCGUGGGUAGCAAACAGGAUUAGAUACCCGAGUAGUC